UUAGUUUUAAAGAGAGCCAAGUAGUAGCAAGGAAAUUAGUAGUAACUUGAAAGAAGAAGAAAAAUGGUUGGAUUUGGUGGUGAGAUGGAGAUUACACGUCGAUGUGCCAAUCAUCAUCCUUCUGUUUGGGGAGACCAUUUUCUUGCCUAUGCUAAUCUUUCGAGAGCCAACGAAUGGGAAGAGAAGGAACAUGAAGACCAAAAAGGAGGAGUGAGAAAAAUGCUAGUGAUGGCUCCUUCCAAAUCUUUACAAAAACUUGAACUUAUAAACACAAUACAAUUGCUUGGAGUGGCAUACCAUUUUGAACAUAAUAUUGAGGAAUCAUUGAGUGAAAUCUAUAAUGAUUAUGAAGAAUGGAUUGGUGAAUUUGAUGAAAGUGACCUACAUGUUGUUGCUCUAAGCUUUCGAUUACUUAGGCAACAAGGUUAUUAUGUCU